GAUGAACGCUGGCGGCGCGCCUAACACAUGCAAGUCGAACGAUUAAAGCACCUUCGGGUGUGUAUAAAGUGGCGAACGGCUGAGUAACACGUGGGCAACCUGCCCCUUUCAUUGGGAUAGCCACGGGAAACCGUGGAUAAUACCGAAUACUUCGAGACUUCCGCAUGGAAGACUCGAGAAAGCUCCGGCGGAGAGGGAUGGGCCCGCGGUCUGUUAGCUUGUUGGUGGGGUAACGGCCUACCAAGGCAAUGAUGGGUAGCUGGGUUGAGAGACCGACCAGCCAGAUUGGGACUGAGACACGGCCCAGACUCCUACGGGAGGCAGCAGUGGGGAAUCUUGCACAAUGGGCGAAAGCCUGAUGCAGCGACGCCGCGUGCGGGAUGAAGGCCUUCGGGUUGUAAACCGCUUUCAGCAGGGACGAGGCGAAAGUGACGGUACCUGCAGAAGAAGCCCCGGCUAACUACGUG
rnacentral:rRNA from 1 species